rnacentral:rRNA from 1 species
CCUACGGGUGGCAGCAGUGAGGAAUAUUGGUCAAUGGACGAGAGUCUGAACCAGCCAAGUAGCGUGAAGGAUGACUGCCCUAUGGGUUGUAAACUUCUUUUAUAUGGGAAUAAAAUGUUCCACGUGUGGGAUUUUGUAUGUACCAUACGUAUUAGGAACGGCUAAGUCCGUGCUAGCAGCCGCGGUAAUACGGAGGAUCCGAGCGUUAUCCGGAUUUAUUGGGUUUAAAGGGAGCGUAAGUGGAUUGUUAAGUCAGUUGUGAAAGUUUGCGGCUCAAACGUAAGAUUGCAGUUGAUACUGGCAGUCUAGAGUACAGUAGAGGUGGGCGGAAUUCGUGGUGUAGCGGUGAAAUGCUUAGAUAUCACGAAGAACUCCGAUUGCGAAGGCAGCUCACUGGACUUCAACUGACACUGAGGCUCGAAAGUGUGGGUAUCAAACAGGAUUAGAUACCCUUGUAGUC